rnacentral:lncRNA from 1 species
UUUCGUUCCUCUAUUUUUGACUUGCUCAACAAGUAAAUACCUCUAUUGUACUAAUAUUUACGCUAAAGUACCCUUCUAGUUGGCCCUAGGAUGCUCUUCUACCCCUCAAAUACCUAUACUGCCCUUACCCCUACUUUGAAAUUACUAUUCCUAAAGAUACUAUCCUUUUCUAUGCCUAAAAUUCCCUUCCAAUAAUCUGAAAUUUACAGACUAAGGUUAACUGAUCUCAAUCCCCUCACCCUAGCUAGAAUUUAACUAAAGAUAAUUAACAAAUGAUCUACUUAGCUACAUCACACCCAAAUCCUAAAGACUCUAAUACAGCAUCCACUACACUGAACCACUAAUUAAGCUAAUUAAAUCCUACAACUAAUUUACCUAAUUAAUCACAAAAUUAAAAUAAGAGGAAGACCA